AGUGAACGCUGGCGGUAGGCCUAACACAUGCCAGUCGAACGGCAGCACAGUAAGAGCUUGCUCUUACGGGUGGCGAGUGGCGGACGGAUGAGGAAUACAUCGGAAUCUACUUUUUCGUGGGGGAUAACGUAGGGAAACUUACGCUAAUACCGCAUACGACCUACGGGUGAAAGCAGGGGAUCUUCGGACCUUGCGCGAUUGAAUGAGCCGAUGUCGGAUUAGCUAGUUGGCGGGGUAAAGGCCCACCAAGGCGACGAUCCGUAGCUGGUCUGAGAGGAUGAUCAGCCACACUGGAACUGAGACACGGUCCAGACUCCUACGGGAGGCAGCAGUGGGGAAUAUUGGACAAUGGGCGCAAGCCUGAUCCAGCCAUACCGCGUGGGUGAAGAAGGCCUUCGGGUUGUAAAGCCCUUUUGUUGGGAAAGAAAAGCAGCAGGUUAAUACCCCGCUGUUCUGACGGUACCCAAAGAAUAAGCACCGGCUAACUUCGUG
rnacentral:rRNA from 1 species